rnacentral:rRNA from 1 species
AAAUUGAAGAGUUUGAUCAUGGCUCAGAUUGAACGCUGGCGGCAGGCCUAACACAUGCAAGUCGAACGGUAACAGGAAGCAGCUUGCUGUUUCGCUGACGAGUGGCGGACGGGUGAGUAAUGUCUGGGAAACUGCCUGAUGGAGGGGGAUAACUACUGGAAACGGUAGCUAAUACCGCAUAACGUCGCAAGACCAAAGAGGGGGACCUUCGGGCCUCUUGCCAUCGGAUGUGCCCAGAUGGGAUUAGCUAGUAGGUGGGGUAACGGCUCACCUAGGCGACGAUCCCUAGCUGGUCUGAGAGGAUGACCAGCCACACUGGAACUGAGACACGGUCCAGACUCCUACGGGAGGCAGCAGUGGGGAAUAUUGCACAAUGGGCGCAAGCCUGAUGCAGCCAUGCCGCGUGUAUGAAGAAGGCCUUCGGGUUGUAAAGUACUUUCAGCGGGGAGGAAGGGAGUAAAGUUAAUACCUUUACUCAUUGACGUUACCCGCAGAAGAAGCACCGGCUAACUCCGUGCCAGCAGCCGCGGUAAUACGGAGGGUGCAAGCGUUAAUCGGAAUUACUGGGCGUAAAGCGCACGCAGGCGGUUUGUUAAGUCAGAUGUGAAAUCCCCGGGCUCAACCUGGGAACUGCAUCUGAUACUGGCAAGCUUGAGUCUCGUAGAGGGGGGUAGAAUUCCAGGUGUAGCGGUGAAAUGCGUAGAGAUCUGGAGGAAUACC